ACCUUCUGUGGUGUAGUUGGCAGCGCCUUGGCUUAUUAAUUAUAAGUCCUAGGUUCAAGUCCUGGUAGGGAUA